rnacentral:rRNA from 1 species
CGGUUUUAGCGACAGAAGAAGCACCGGCUAACUCCGUGCCAGCAGCCGCGGUAAUACGGAGGGUGCGAGCGUUAAUCGGAAUUACUGGGCGUAAAGCGCAUGCAGGUGGUUUGUUAAGUCAGAUGUGAAAGCCCGGGGCUCAACCUCGGAAUAGCAUUUGAAACUGGCAGACUAGAGUACUGUAGAGGGGGGUAGGAAUUUCAGGUGUAGCGGUGAAAUGCGUAGAGAUCUGAAGGAAUACCGGUGGCGAAGGCGGCCCCCUCGGACAGAUACUGACACUCAGAUGCGAAAGCGUGGGGAGCAAACAGGAUUAGAUACCCUGGUAG